UACGGGGGGGGCAAGCGUUGUUCGGAAUUACUGGGCGUAAAGGGCUCGUAGGCGGCCAACUAAGUCACACGUGAAAUCCCCAGGCUUAACCUGGGAACUGCGUGUGAUACUGGAUGGCUUGAAUUCGGGAGAGGGAUGCAGAAUUCCAGGUGUAGCGGUGAAAUGCGUAGAUAUCUGGAGAAAUACCGGUGGCGAAGGCGGCAUCCUGGACCGACAUUGACGCUGAACGGCGAAAGCUAGGGGAGCAAACGGG
rnacentral:rRNA from 1 species